rnacentral:lncRNA from 1 species
UAGUAUAAGAGACUAUACUAUAUAAAAUCUGAUAGAUUCUAAAUCUGGAGGAUUUGAAUAAAAGGUUCUAAAUGGCUGACCAUGUAGGUCAUACCAUUCAAGUGCAAGACAGGAAACUUGGACCUGAAUAGUCUGCUACUGCUAGGCUUUUUAUUGAAAUAAGCCUAUGAGAAAGCAAAACUGCUGGUGGUGCAGUUUGUGUCUGAAUCACAAGAUAAGGGGAAAAGCUCUGGUAAAACAAUUCCCUGCCCCCAACCCAUUUGAGAUAAUUCCUAAGUGAAUUUUGCAACUUAUACCACUUAUGCUGUUUUUCUCCUCUCUUUCCUACAGGGGUUGGUAGUUCUUGGGGAGGUGCCUCCCCCAGAGCAUACAACAGACUUAUUUCUUCCACUUAGUUCUGAGGUGAAGACAGAUCAUGGGACUGAUAAAUUGGAAAAGCAACGACCAGAGAAGAUCUAAUAUGGAACAUAGCAUCUUAGUAAGUGAAGAAAACAUUUUAAAAUUAAUCAAGAAGGGCAACAAAAUUUUAGACAAAAAAUAUUCUAAAGAACAGGUGAGGAUCCUUUCAGUCUGUGUACCACAGGGUCUCUAGCAUCCAACCAGAGAGCCAUAGUAUCAUUGGCUUAUUAUAUAUAGUCAGAGAAUGGAAUUCAGAACGUCCAGAAAUUGAGGAGGUAAUAGUGGCAAAGAUAGCAUUAGUGGGUAGAGGAGGGCUUUAGACCCACAAUCUGUAUAAAUCUUUUCAGAUCCUGAGCUAACCCCAAACUGCACAUGUUUUGAAGUGAUUUGAAAUGGCCUGGUGCAAAACAAUAUUUUUAAGGCUGAAAGAGCUAAUGUAGUUACUACCUACUGCUGACAAGGCAUGAUUUAGAAUUUGAAUUCCAGUGAGACUUGGUGAAUACCUUGGAUUUUAAGCAUUGAAAGUUCACUCUUUCCACAUUACAGAAUGUUUUACAGGACUAAGUGAUUCACUGUAGCAUUAAGGAGAAAACCAAAAUACA